GGCUCUUCCCAAGGCGCACAAGCCGAGAGGCGCAGCUCCCGUCUCAAAAGUUUCUUAAAAGGGGGGGAGGCAAAAGGGGGCACCAGGUAGAACAUCCGAGCGCCCCGAAAGGCUCUUGAAACUGCUGGGGAAGCCGGAGCCACCCCAGGCGGGGAAGCCAAGAGCACUUCGCCCCCGGAGGGCUGGCGAGAUCAAGUGAGGCAGCCCGGCCGCUUUCCAAACGCGCCCCGAAGCCAACCACGUUUGGCGAGCCAGCAGCAGCAGCCGCCUCGGCCGGGACCCCCAAAGAGGUGCAGAGCCCUUUUGAGAGCCGGAUGCAAUGUCAUUUCGUUUUCAUGGUAUGUCGCCGAGUCUACCUUCACAGUGGCCAUAAAGCUAAUUCUCCUUCUGUUCUGCUUGGUGGGUCAAUGGGGCUGCCUCCAACAAGCCGUGGUUUAGUCCUGGUUUAGCAGGAUGGGCGAGCCUAGGGUCACUGAAGUUGGCUUUGCAAAUCCCCCCCCCCACAAAAAAAACCCAGCAACAACAAUGUGAGUCAGGUUGGAUGGAAGAUCUUUUGUUGAGGAGGCCUUUGGGAAGUUAUUCAAUUAUUCCAUCGUUAAGAAACAGGGUUUGGAUAGGGCUCUGUAUGAUCUCAUUACAGGAUUAUUUUAUUUCCAAACAAGGGACAUGGAACAAAGUCAUCUUGAUGAUCUAAUCUGGGUUUUUUUCAUCAGACAGUGGGGUUAUGAGAAGAAAAAUGGGGACUAGUUUUGAAAUACAGGCAGGCCUCAACUUACGACCAUAACUGAGCCCAACGUUUAUGUUGCUAAGUGAGAAAUGUGUUACGUGAGUUAUUUUAUGACUUCUCUCUCCACGCUUGUUAAGUGCAUCCUGCAGUUCUUGAAUUAGUCACACGGUUGUUAAGUGAAUCUGCCUCUCCCCAUUGAGUUUGCUGGUCACCAAAGAGGAUCACGUGACUCUGCAACCGUCAUAAAUGUGAGUCAGUGGUCAUCCAAAUAUAAAUCACGUGGCCACGGGGAUACUACAAAGGCCGUAAGUGUGAAAAACAGUCGUAAGUCACUUUUUUCAGUGCUGUUGUAACUCUGAAUGGUCAUUAAAUGAACAAUAGUAAGUCAAGGACUAUCUGUGAUCGGUUGGCUAGCAGUGUGUAACUUGUAAGUUUCAUUUUUGGUUCAGUUUAUGCCUAUUGACUAAAAGAAUAGUAACACCUCUGUGUUUCUCAACUUUGGCCACUUUAAGAUGGGUGGACAGCUGGCUGGGGGAUUCUGGGAGUUGAAGUCCACCCAUCUUAAAAAGUGACCAAGGUUGAAAAACACAGGUUAAAUAGCUACCUCCUUAGCAAAGCCUGUUGGUUGCCCAUCUAAACACAAACCUAUCCCUAUUUCCCUACUUAGCUUUCAAAGGUGCUUUUAUGAAAAGGCAACUGGUCUUCCUUUGGUUUUCCUCGAAGACGUUUCGCUUCUCAUCUGGCAAGGAGCUUCUUCAGUUCUUCACUACAGAACUGAAGAAGCUUCUUGGGUGAGAAGCGAAACGUCUUCGAGGAAAAACAAAGGAAGCCCAGUUGCCUUCUCAUAAAAGCACCUUUGGGAUAACCAUGAUUGAGAAUCUCCAUAGAUACUUCAUCUUUAAAGGUGGGGUUUUUCCUCCCCUAUUUUGCUCCUAUUUGGAGAUAUAAGAACCUUGAUUGCUUUCAUCGCUCUCUCUAGUAGAGAAUCCUUCUUUAUAACUGGUGUUUGGUCUUGGGCGACAAGAGAAUUAUUGAUUUCUCUAAUGAGUAACAUUUCCUUUGAGAUGGUGAGAUUGAGGCUGGAAGGGGAGGGGGAGGUUUCUUUUACACGAGCAGAUCUAUGUGAGCAAAGAAAAACAAAUUGGCCGGCUUUUUAAUUAAGAUUAGUCGGCUGAUAUAUGGAGGAAGGAAGGGCGUUUCCUGUAAUGGUACCCUGCGGUUCAAUUUGAAGGGUGGCAUUGGAAGGGAGGAAGAGCCAGCUUGGUCUACCACAGUGAUAGCUAACCUUUUUGUCAUCUCGUGCCAAAAGCAGGGGGAGUGCUGGGGGGGUUGCGCGCAUGUGCGCCCACACCCAUAAUUCUAUGCGCUCCACCCCCUGCGCAUGCCUGCACGACCCCCCCCCAUGGCUCCCCCUGCAUUUGGCACGUGAUGGUACAGUGGACCCUGUAGGCCCGUUUUUCACUAUCUCCAGGCUCCAGAGCCUUUCUAGGAGCCUGGGGAGGGCAAAAACAGCCUUCCCCACCCCCCCUCGGAUGCCCUCCGGAGGCCGGAAACAGCGUGUUUCCUGACUUCCGGUGGGCCCAGAAGGCCUGAAAAUCAGCUGGCCAGAGCUGAGCUUGCGUGCCCACCAAUAUGGUUCCACAUGCCACCUGUGGCCAUCAAGGGUCUAGCGAUUGAGGUAGUGGUGGGAUUCAGCCAGUUCGCACCACUUCAGGAGAACCGGUUGUUAACUUUCUGAGCAGUUUGGUGAACUGGUUGUUGGAAGAAGUCAUUAGGGCAGAGAACCUGUUGUUAAAUUAUUUGAAUCCCACCACUGGGUUAAGGUACCAGGCUAGAAAGCUAGAAAUGGUGAGUUCUAGUCUCUCCUUAGCCAUGAAAGCCAGCUGGGUGGCUUUGGGCCAAUCACUAGGAGACGGUGAAUUCUAGUCCCACGUUAGGCAUAAACACCAGCUGGGUGGCUUGGGCCAACCACCAGGAGACAAUGAAUUCUAGUUCCCCCAUGAAACCAGGAGACAUUGAGUUCUAGUCCUGCCUUAGGCCUGACAGUCGUCUGGAUGACUUGAGCCAGUUUCUCUCCCUCUUUCUCUCUCUCUCUCUCACCCCAACCCACCUCACAGGUUGUGGGGGAAAUAGGAGGAGGAAGAUGUGUUGGGUAUGUUCGUUGCCUUGAGUUAUUUCUAAAAAUAACAAAAGUGAGAUAGGAGUAAGCAGGACCAAAGAGUCAUUAUGGGUAUGGUACCGCAUGGGUGUGCAUAUCUUCGAGUCAGUUUUGGACUUCCUUUGAAAGUCCCUGCAGUUUUCUUGGCCAGGUUUUUCAGACGUGCUUUGCCAUUGCCUCCUUCUUAGGGCUGUGAGAGCUUGACUGGCUUAAGGUCACCUGGCUGGCUUCAUUUCUAAACCUGGACUAGAAUUCACAGCCUCCUGGCUUCCAGCUUGGUGUCUUAACCAACCACACCCAGUCACCCUUUCAUAUCAUAUCAAAUUAUUGGAUGGGUGCUGUGAUAUCACAAUGCACAUAUGCAAUUAUAGUGACAGCUGGCAUUGGAUGUCUAUGGAGUGAGCUCUGUUAAGCCAAUUUCUUCUGUUUCAGAGACAGCGGUGGUGCAGUGGUUAGAGCACAGUACUGCAGGCUCCUUCUGCUGACUGCCGGCUGACUGCAAUUUGGCAGUUCAGAUCUCACCAGGCUCAAGCUUGACUCAGCCUUCCAUCCUUCCGAGUGUAAAGGAAUUUCUGCAAGCAAAUGACCAAACUCAGAUGGCACCCAGGACUCCACAUUUAUCUUUUGAAUGUAAAAUCUGUCAGCUAAGAUGCAAUAUAAAUAAUCUGUCCAUCCAUCCAUCCGUCCAUCCAUCCAUCAUCACAAAUCUGCCACAAGUUCAGGACAUCACGAAUAAUUCUUAGUGCCAAGGAACAGGCGUUCCCAAAAUAGAUCAAUAGGUGGAUUUAAGCCAAGGGAAGUCCAUUAAGAAUGUUUCCCUCACUCGCGACUCAAAGUGAGGCCAUCAAAGUCAAUCAAUCAAGCAUUAAAGGGUUGCCGGAUGCAGUGAAAAUGGCCACGUGUGUCGUUUGCGUAGGAGAUAUAUUUGCAGGUGGCUGAAUCACCUCUCAACGACUUGCCUCCAGACGUUGUGGAAGCUUCAACACUGAAAUUUUUAAAGAAGAGACUGGACAACGGUUUGUCUGAAAUGGUGUAAGGUUUUCUGCCUGAGCAGAGGGUUGGACUAGAAGACCUCCGAGAUCCCUUCCAACUCUGUUAUUCUGUUAUUCUCCUUAGCAUCAUCCUAGCUGAAGACGUAUCUGUUUAUUCGCGCAGGACUGGCAUAGGAAUUUUAAAUAGUUUUUAAUAUUUGAUACAAAUUUUAUGGGGUUUUUAUAGUUUUAAAUGUUUUAAUCUGGCCUUAUAUCUAAUAAGUUUUUUAACUAUUGUUUUAUCUGUAUAUUAUUGCUGUUUUAUCUUGGCUGUGAACCGCCCUGAGUCCUUUGGGAGAAGGGCGGUAUAAAAAUUCAAUAAAUAAUAAUAAUAAUAAUAAUAAAAUGCUUCAA